UACAGAGGUCUCAAGCGUUGUUCGGAUUCAUUGGGCGUAAAGGGUGCGUAGGCGGCGCGGUAAGUCGGGUGUGAAAUCUCGGGGCUUAACUCCGAAACUGCAUUCGAUACUGCCGUGCUUGAGGACUGGAGAGGAGACUGGAAUUUACGGUGUAGCGGUGAAAUGCGUAGAGAUCAGGCGGAACACCCGUGGCGAAGGCGGCCAGCUGGGUCGUCCCUGACGCUGAGGCGCGAAGGCGUGGGGAGCGAACGGG
rnacentral:rRNA from 1 species